GGGGAAUUUUGGACAAUGGGGGCAACCCUGAUCCAGCCAUUCCGCGUGUGUGAUGAAGGCCUUCGGGUUGUAAAGCACUUUUGGCAGGAAAGAAAUGGCCCGGGUUAAUACCCUGGGUGGAUGACGGUACCUGCAGAAUAAGCACCGGCUAACUACGUGCCAGCAGCCGCGGUAAUACGUAGGGUGCAAGCGUUAAUCGGAAUUACUGGGCGUAAAGCGUGCGUAGGCGGUUCGGAAAGAAAGAUGUGAAAUCCCAGGGCUCAACCUUGGAAUGGCAUUUUUAACUCCCGAGCUAGAGUGUGUCAGAGGGGGGUGGAAUUCCGCGUGUAGCAGUGAAAUGCGUAGAGAUGCGGAGGAACACCGAUGGCGAAGGCAGCCCCCUGGGAUAACACUGACGCUCAGGCACGAAAGCGUGGGGAGCAAAC
rnacentral:rRNA from 1 species